GAUGAACGCUAGCGGCAGGCUUAAUACAUGCAAGUCGAGGGACAGCACAGGUAGCAAUACUGGGUGGUAACCGGCAAACGGGUGCGGAACACGUACACAACCUUCCUUUAAGUGGGGGAUAGCCCAGAGAAAUUUGGAUUAAUACCCCGUAAUAUAGUUGAAUGGCAUCAUUUGAUUAUUAUAGCUACGGCGCUUAAUGAUGGGUGUGCGGCUGAUUAGAUAGUUGGCGGGGUAACGGCCCACCAAGUCUACGAUCAGUAGCUGAUGUGAGUGCAUGGUCAGCCACACGGGCACUGAGAGACGGGCCCGACUCCUACGGGAGGCAGCAGUAAGGAAUAUUGGUCAAUGGACGCAAGUCUGAACCAGCCAUGCCGCGUGAAGGAUUAAGGUCCUCUGGAUUGUAAACUUCUUUUAUUUGGGACGAAAAAGGGCCUUUCUAGGUCAACUGACGGUACCAGAUGAAUAAGCACCGGCUAACUCCGUGCCAGCCGCCGCCGUAAUAC
rnacentral:rRNA from 1 species